CUUGGGUGGUAGAGAGNGAAAAUGAGGAGGGGGUUGAAUGGCUGCUGUGCUGUGAUGUUGCAGCUGCUUGGGUCCUCACUUGAAGGGGAGAUGGUGAGAUGGGACUUUUAUUAAUUAGAUGGAGUGAAUUUCCCAUAAUGACCCUACUUUCUCCUAUAGAGAGGUUCCUUUAUGGACAAAUUCUUUUCUUUACCUUGACCAUGAAGUGCCACGGGAUGACCUUUUCCUAUUCGGCUCUUGCUUGACAUGGUAAACAGUAUUGCCAAGCAUUAUCUCAGUUAUUUAAUCAGUUUCAUGGCCCUUCAUUUAGAGUAAUUAUUUUUAUGUGCUUCCAUUCAAGAAUUAUAUUAAAUUGAAAAGGCUUCUUGUCUAUCUUUGUUAGAUUCAUGUAUCUUGGUUGAAAUAGUGUACUUGAUAGCUACCUAUUUCCAUAUCAUUUUUUUAAGUAUUUUAUAUUUAUUAAAAAAAGUUAUUAUUAAAAAAAGGCCUCGUUCAUUGGAUUCGCCUUAGGCCCCCAAAUGUAUUGGGCCGCCCCUGACUAACAACGAAAAAGCAAAAAAUUCUUAUCUGCAUCUAAUUUCAUCAACUAAAAGCAGAAAUAUUAAAUUGAUCCACAGUUCCACAUUACUUGUGGAGUGAUUGAUUAUACCCCUAUUUGAUUUUGAUGAGCUCAAAGCAUUUGAGUAUAUUUCAUGUUGUACUAAUGAAUUCAAUCUAGUGUUUCAGGCAAAUAUAUUUGAAUUUAUCUUUAAGAGCAUCGAGCUUUGGUUCAAAGAAUUUUGGCUAAGUAUUGAACUCAAUUAAGCCAAAGUCUGAAUUUCGAGUCGACUCCGGAAGAUUGCGAGUCGACUCUAAGUGUUUCAGAGGUUCUGGCACAAGCUCGAGUCAACUCCGGUACACUACGAGUCGACUCCGACUGAGAACAAACAGAAGGACAGAAAGAUGAACUUCAGACCCUGUCACCGAAUCGACUCAAGAAGGCUUCGAGUCGACUCAAGAUGCUUGCCGAGUCGACUCCCGACGGUUCCGAGUUGACUCCAAGAAGUAACAGACAGAAAGACAGAGAAGUGUUUUCUAGACCCUGUUACCGAGUCGACUCCAGAAGGAUGCGAGUCGACUCCAACGUUUGGCGAGUCGACUCCUAAACAUGCCAGAGUCGACUCUCAGGAAAAAGUGGACUAAAAGGCAGAAAACCAAACUCAGUGACCCUGUGAACGAGUCGACUCCGAGAAUUCGGAAGUCGACCCCAAGUCAGCCGAGUCGACUCCAGCAAAGUGCGAGUCGACUCCGAGGCAGCUC
rnacentral:lncRNA from 1 species